AGUCUUCCCUGUCGCUUUAAGCGACCUAAAGGAACGUUUAAGACUAAGACGUUGAUAGGCUGGGUGUGUAAGCGUAGCGAUACGUUGAGCUAACCAGUACUAAUGAACCGUGAGGCUUAACCUGACAACACCGAAGGUGUUU
rnacentral:rRNA from 1 species